rnacentral:rRNA from 1 species
GCAGUCGGGCGGUAACACAGAGGAGCUUGCUCCUUGGGUGACGAGCGGCGGACGGGUGAGUAAAGUCUGGGGAUCUGCCUGAUGGAGGGGGAUAACUACUGGAAACGGUAGCUAAUACCGCAUGACGUCUUCGGACCAAAGUGGGGGACCUUCGGGCCUCACGCCAUGAGAUGAACCCAGAUGGGAUUAGCUGGUAGGUGAGGUAACGGCUCACCUAGGCGACGAUCCCUAGCUGGUCUGAGAGGAUGACCAGCCACACUGGAACUGAGACACGGUCCAGACUCCUACGGGAGGCAGCAGUGGGGAAUAUUGCACAAUGGGGGAAACCCUGAUGCAGCCAUGCCGCGUGUGUGAAGAAGGCCUUCGGGUUGUAAAGCACUUUCAGCGGGGAGGAAGGCAAUAAACUUAAUAAGUUUGUUGAUUGACGUUACCCGCAGAAGAAGCACCGGCUAACUCCGUGCCAGCAGCCGCGGUAAUACGGAGGGUGCAAGCGUUAAUCGGAAUGACUGGGCGUAAAGCGCACGCAGGCGGUCUGUUAAGUUGGAUGUGAAAUCCCCGGGCUCAACCCGGGAACAGCAUUCAAAACUGACAGGCUAGAGUCUCGUAGAGGGGGGUAGAAUUCCAGGUGUAGCGGUGAAAUGCGUAGAGAUCUGGAGGAAUACCGGUGGCGAAGGCGGCCCCCUGGACGAAGACUGACGCUCAGGUGCGAAAGCGUGGGGAGCAAACAGGAUUAGAUACCCUGGUAGUCCACGCCGUAAACGAUGUCGACUUGGAGGCUGUGGUCUUGAACCGUGGCUUCCGGAGCUAACGCGUUAAGUCGACCGCCUGGGGAGUACGGCCGCAAGGUUAAAACUCAAAUGAAUUGACGGGGGCCCGCACAAGCGGUGGAGCAUGUGGUUUAAUUCGAUGCAACGCGAAGAACCUUACCUACUCUUGACAUCCAGAGAAGACUGUAGAGAUACGGUUGUGCCUUCGGGAGCUCUGAGACAGGUGCUGCAUGGCUGUCGUCAGCUCGUGUUGUGAAAUGUUGGGUUAAGUCCCGCAACGAGCGCAACCCUUAUCCUUUGUUGCCAGCGAUACGGUCGGGAACUCAAAGGAGACUGCCGGUGAUAAACCGGAGGAAGGUGGGGAUGACGUCAAGUCAUCAUGGCCCUUACGAGUAGGGCUACACACGUGCUACAAUGGCGCAUACAAAGAGAAGCGAGCCUGCGAGGGUGAGCGGACCUCAUAAAGUGCGUCGUAGUCCGGAUUGGAGUCUGCAACUCGACUCCAUGAAGUCGGAAUCGCUAGUAAUCGUAGAUCAGAAUGCUACGGUGAAUACGUUCCCGGGCCUUGUACACACCGCCCGUCACACCAUGGGAGUGGGUUGCAAAAGAAGUAG